CAGUGAGACGGCGGGGGAUAAGCUUCGUCGUCGAGAGGGAAACAGCCCAGAUCAGCAGCUAAGGUGCCUAAAUUGUGCUCAGUGGAAAGGAGGUGAGGUUUCAUAGACAGUGAGGAUGUUGGCUUAGAAGCAGCCACCAUUUAAAAAAUGCGUAAUAGCUUACUCAUCGAGAGACCUUGCGCCGAAAAUACUUGGCGAUAAGCACAAUACCGAAGCUCUGGGUGUCCUAGUUUACUAGGGCGCGGUAGAGGAGCAUUCUCUGUGCAGUGAAGGGUGAUGGCGACUGACCCUGGAGCGCAGAGAAGUGAGAAUGCAGACAUGAGUAACGAUAAGAGCGGUGAAAUCCCGCUCCGCCGUAAAUCCAAGGUUUCCCGGGCAACGUUUUUCGUCCCGGGGUUAGUCGGGACCUAACCCGAGGCCGAUGGGCGUAGGGGAUGGUAAGCAGGUUAAUAUUCCUGCACCCAGUAAGGAGGACGCAUAAUGAAAAGCUACUAGGUUAUUGAAUUCCGAGGCGAGGCUUAGGCCGGACCGUAUAGCUGGACAGAGUGCCAAGAAAAGCCCUUACAUUAAUGGCCCGUACCGUAAACCGACACAGGUGGAUGGGUAGAAUAUACCAAGGCGCAAGAGUGAAACCUGGUCAAGGAACUCGGCAAAAUAGCCCCGUAACUUCGGAAGAAGGGGUGCCCCCUCUGGGGGGCCGCAGUGAAAUGGCCCAACCGACUGUUUAGCAAAAACACAGCAUUGUGCUAAGGCGUAAGCCGACGUAUACGAUGUGACACGUGACCAAUGCCAAAAGAUUACGGUAAGAUGUUAGCACUUUAGUGCGAAGCUUCGAGCCCAAGUCCUGGUGAAUGUCGGCCGUAACUAUAACGGUCCUAAGGUAGCGAAAUUCCUUGUCGGGUAAGUUCCGACCUGCACGAAUCGUGCAACGAGUUGGGCGCUGUCUCGACCAGGUGCUCAGUGAAAUUGUAGUUCCGGUGAAGAUGCCGGACACCCGCAGAAGGACGGAAAGACCCUAUAGACCUUAACUGUAAGCUGUUAUUGGUUGUUCGAUCUUAAUGCUCAGCAUAAGUGGGAGACAUUGAAGGGUGCGUUUAGGCGCAUCUGGAGUCAUCAGUGAGAUACCACCCUUUAAUAUUGGAUAAUCUAACCCCGAGCCGUCAUCCGGCCGUGGGGACAAUGGCAGCCGGUCAGUUUUACUGGGGCGGUAUCCUCCUAAAGAGUAACGGAGGAGCGCGAAGGUGGGCUCAGCACAGUUGGCAACUGUGUGUUGAGUGUAAAGGCACAAGCCCGCCUAACUGUGAGACCUACAAGUCGAGCAGAUACGAAAGUAGGCCUUAGUGAUCCGGCGGUAGAAUGUGGAAUUGCCGUCGCUCAACGGAUAAAAGGUACCUUAGGGAUAACAGGCUUAUCACGCCCAAGAGUUCAUAUCGACGGCGUGGUUUGGCACCUCGAUGUCGGCUCGUCGCAUCCUGGGGCUGGAGAAGGUCCCAAGGGUCCGGCUGUUCGCCGGUUAAAGCGGCACGCGAGCUGGGUUCAGAACGUCGCGAGACAGUUCGGUCCUCUAUCCUCUGUGGGCGUAGGAAAAUUGAAGGGUUCAGACCUUAGUACGAGAGGACCGGGUUUGACGCACCUCUGGUGUUCCAGUUGUUCUGUCAAGGGCACUGCUGGGUAGCUAAGUGCGGAACGGAUAAGCGCUGAAAGCAUCUAAGCGCCAAGCCAUUCCUGAGAUAAAUUUUCCCUGAAGGAUCGUGGAAGACGACCACGUUGAUAGGCUGGGGGUAGAAGUGCAGCAAUGUAUGUAGCUCACCAGUACUAAUCAUCCGUUCGACUUAAUUCC
rnacentral:rRNA from 1 species